rnacentral:rRNA from 2 species
CAACAACGAAGAGUUUGAUCCUGGCUCAGGAUGAACGCUAGCGACAGGCUUAACACAUGCAAGUCGAGGGGCAGCAGGGGAAGGACUUGUCCUUCCCGC